CGCAGUAAAGAAGCCCCACAACUCACCCGCCUGCGCAUAAAGAACGAGCAAAGGACGCAGAGUAGACGCCAUAGUCUUCGAUAACCCAAUAGGAAUGCCAGUCAGGUGACUGUGUUUGCGUUUGGACUCCGAUACACCGACGAAGACAUAUGUUCAGGAUGCGAAUACGAUGAAGUUUCGUCUCCGUGCAGCCGGUUUGGAAAAAAACCUGAGUUUGGUUGCCCUGAGGAUCCAGGAGUACGGCAGGUGCAACCAAGGCCAUGCACUGUUGGACAAGACACCUGCCACUGUCCUUCCGGAACAUAUAGGCGAAGGGACAGGCAUUGCGUGGCACUUGAUGAGUGCAUUCCCCGAGAACGAAAGCCUUUAAGGAAAGUGAGGAGAUAGUGCAUCAUACCAGCAUUUCUUUGCGUGCUAAAAUGUUUUGAGAUAUGAUUGCAUGUUAUCGAGCCAUGUGUAUGCCAUGCACUUUAAGUGGUCAGUAAUGAGAACUAAGUGCGAAUAAAACACACAUUACAGAAAUACACGGUUUCACACUUA